rnacentral:lncRNA from 1 species
UAAAUUAAAAAAAUCAACAAAGUUAUAUUUCAAUAUGUCACAAAAUGCAUGGAGGGGGCUGAAAUGAUCCAAUAAAGAGAAACAGAAGAAAAAAUACAUACAAAGAGCUCCGAGCAUAACAUUAACAGUUAUUCAAGUCAAAGAUUCAAGGUCUUGCAACAUAACAAUUAAAAAGAGGAAGGGUGGGGAAAGAAUGAAGCACUAGAAAGAGUUUCCAACAUUUUCUUCAAUGUGUUUUCUCGUGCUUCAAAUGGCAAACGAUAUUCUUGUAUAAAAUAAACGCAGAUGUUAACAGUAAAACAUCAAUAAUUCAUCAUUCAUAAUUAAAAAUAAUGCAUAAACAAUUCCAUUAAAAUGCAGGUAGAUUGUUUAAUCAAAGAAUAUAUUUUAAAAUCAAUCAAGCAUUUAUAACACAUAAUUAUAAUAUUUUUAAAUCAAUCAAACAUUUAUGACCCAUAAUUAAU